UGAUGUCAGCGUAAACCCUAGCCUUGGAGGGAGCGCCGGGGCGGCGAACGGAUUUUCCGAUUCUCUGCGCCAGGGUUUCGGGCAGCGAGGACAGGGCAAAGCGGUGGUGCGACGGUGGCGGCGGAGGAGGAGGGGGAGAUUUUUGGGGGUGAGAGAGUGGGGCUGGGGAAGAGGCGAGUCGAUGGAAUACGAGAAGGGACGGCGGAGAUUGAGAGAGGUGAGAGGAAGAGGACGAAGGUAAGCGGAGGGAAAAGGCGAGGAGUCUACGGUGAGAGAUGAUGAAUCGCAAAGGCCUUACGGCCAUCAAAG
rnacentral:lncRNA from 1 species